GGUGGGAUUGAACAGCAGCCUCUUUUAGUGGGCUUUCUUUACAAAACCCAACGACUCUACCUCUCUGCUUGCUAAGCAUGUGAACUUAUCAUCUAAUGGGGAAUGCAAGACUCACUCUCCAGUAAACCUAGAAAACUUAGAUAACCUUGCUUCUCAUCUAAUGAGGCAGAUAUAUUCUUCUGUCCAGAAGACAGGCAGGUGUGACAUGGAUUCCAUGCCACUGGGCAACUGUUCAACUGUCCUGAAGAAAUGGUUUACGUAUCACAAGUAUCACAAGGGCUGCUGGGUCACUGAGUGAUUGUUUUGCAUUAGGUGAGACGGUUUCGAAGCCAUGAUGUUUCACAAGUCUCUGAUUCUAUAUGUGCUGUUUGCUUUGGAGUGAAAUUACUUCCUCAUGCUUAGCACCACCAUUGCCUGAUUCCUGUCUGCCUGGAAUGAUUAUCUCCAUCUUCAAUUUGCAAGUGAAGAAACUGAGCUAUAGGGCCAUGGCACUAACUUACUCCAGUUGUGUCUAGCAUAGAGAUGCCAGAGAGAAAUUACAGCAGGGGUGUUGUUUCCAUGUCUUCUGUGAAGGGCACUCUCUUAGCCUAAUGCCUCCUCAGGGACCUCGAACUUUGAUCUCUGAACUGCGUCCUCCCAGGGCCCAGAGGGAAGAUCAAUCACUCAGGCAUCUCCCAGGACACCAGGUCAAGUGGCAGAAGUUCAUCCUCUGGGAUUCUUUGUCCUCUGUAACAUCGAUUGUCAACUUGGCAAAGCCAGCUUGACAAAACCAGAGUCUUUGUGUACAAUCCAUAGACAGCACUGGGAAGAGCAAACCAUGAGAGGCCAGCACUAAACCCUCAGGGUAGCUAAAGAGGAAGCAUGGUAAGACCUCAUUCUGCAGCAGAAAAAAACAAACAAUCUGCUCUACGUGUACCCAGCAUCCUGGUUGCCCCUUCUUGCAAUGGACAAGCCUGCAUCCGCAGAGUUCUAGUCCUGUGUCUUGUGUCCUUGCUACAUCCUCCUCUGGGAGCACUCCGCAAAAGCUCAGUUAUUGUUAGCCCCCUUCUCUCAACCUCUCCAAUCAUUGCACACUCAUAGACAAAGGACAAUCUGAUCUUUAUGUGACCAAGAUAAAAUUUGAUGGGAGAUCAGCAAGACAUAAAGGAAGGUUCUUAAAUGACAUAUUUAUCCCAACAUUGUUCUGGGAAGAGAAGUAUCCAUUGUGAAAACUAAACAUGUCUGAUUAAAUGAUAAAUGCA
rnacentral:lncRNA from 1 species